AUGUAGGCCACGGCCACCGCCGUGUAGCAGCCCGAAAGGAAGAUGAUGGGCCGCUCCGGGUAGCUGAACCGCUUCAUGUCCACCAGGAUAAAGAUUUAUCCAGGACAACUUCUUACCUUCCUUCUUGUCUUGAGCUCCUGCACCACCUAAGGAUGUGCUGAAAACCACCUGAGCAUGCAAGUAGAGCCAAGUCUGCUGUCCCUCCCUGCGACAGAGCCUGGCACAGCUGAGCACCACACUCCUCUGGAGAUGAGUCUCCUCCUGCUUGCCACUCCACGGCAAAUGAGGCACAGCUGGAGCCUGCAGGGUUUCUGUGAAGCACAGAACAGCAAAUGCAGAAUGAUCCCUAGAGGAUGUGUAGAUGGACAAGCAGCCAAGGUGGACACUUCCCAGCUGGCUUUCAGAACUGGCAAAGCCACAAGGUAAGGAGGACUGAGGAGAGUCUGGCAUGGGACAGGUUUUAUCCUGAGUAACCCAGGAGGAUUUGAAAAGUGCAAUAGCCCUGGGGACUCCUCUGGAAACUCAGCUUCUGCCCAGAGUCUUGCUCUCAGCUCCAUCAUUUUAAGCAUCCCAUAAAGACACCUGGUGGGAAUCUGGGUCUGAGGCAAAGAAAGAGACCAACUUUCACUACCAAAUUAAAUGGGACCAACUUCCACCAAAUCCAGAGGGACCAACCCUCGCUCACAACAAAUGGGACAACUUUUACACCCCAGACACCUGGAGAACAAAGCAGGCAGCCCAAACAUCAAAGCCAUUUACUCUGCAGCUUAGUGGCAAAGGCUGCGUUUCCUCAGUGUUCUGUAAGUAGCUGAUGCUGAAGAUGCUGCCGGUGGAACAGGCAGCUGGGUGCCUUUGCUUGUGAGCUGCAGAGAUUGCUCAGCCUUUGGAGAGUAGCUAAAAUAAACCCUCCCUAUUCUUUCUCUGCUGACAGGAAGCCAGCACACUUCUGCCCCUUGUUAACCAACUCAGUGCACUUUUCACUCCAUAAAUCUCGCAUUACUUCCUUCCUUUGCUUUUCUUCUGCACCAGAAGGAGAAAGUUUUUAACAGAAGGGCUCUAAGGCAGCAGGAGGAAAACAGCAAAUCAGGGAGGAAGCUGCAUAAGGAAAGUAAAUCCAAAGUAAUAAAAUGAUGGAGAUCCAGCAAGCUUUGCUGGGUUGGGGGGGAAAUGGCUUUGGAGCUGGCUGAAUCCAAAGCUGGAGAAACCUGGCAUGUGAGAGAGCACCACUAAAAGUCAGCCCUGCACCUAGCAGAGGGGAUGGGAAAUGAGGUAAUGACUUAUAACAAAGAUAGGGGCAAAACCUGCCAGGUUUGCAGGUCUGCAACGAGAUGCACAUGGGAGUAACAACUGCUAAAUGGCAGGCAGGCAGAGCAGUCUUGAGGGGAGAACAGCACGGAGCAGUUUAACCAAGAGGCAAACAAUCUGCUCUGCAGCACAGAACCAGAGAGAGCACUGCCCAGCGCUCGCCCGGCUAACCAGGGCUGGCUGCAGCCUUCCAGUGUCCCAGCAAGGCUUCGGCUGCACCUGAGGAGAUACCAGUAAUGAAGCACAUCUUUCCUGGCAGGUGUUUUAGAAGUUCUCCAAGUGACAAGAGUGCAGCACAAAUGGAAGUGUCUGUGGUCAAAAGGGCUUCUGCCAGGCACAGGAUCAGGGAAUGACAGAAUGGAGGGGUUGGAAGGGACCUCUGGAGAUCAUAGGUAUUAGGGGUUGAAAGGGACACAGCCCACAGCAGGGGCACCCAGGGCAAGGCACACAAGAACACAUCCAGGUGGGGCUUGAAAGCCUCCAAAGCAGGAGACUCCGCAGCCUGCUCCAGGCUCCAGCACCCUCACACCAGAGAAGUCUCUCCUCACGCUGAGGUGCAGCCUCCUGGGUGGCAGUUUGUGUCCUCUGCCCCUUGUCCUGUCACAGGGCAGCACUGAACAGAGCCUGGCCCCUGCUGCUUGCCCCCAGCCCUCAGCUAUUUAGAGACACUGAUCAGAUUCCCUCUGGGGCUGCUCCUCUGCAGGCUCUCAGCCGCAGGGCUCUCAGCCCUAGCUUCUCACACAGAUGUCCUAGUCCCCUGUUACAAGCACUCCAGCCUGAGCUGUAAGAAGGAAGCCACCUCCAGGCUGCAUCUAGAACAUGCCAAAGCAUUCAGACAGCAGCCUGCCAGCAGCGACUGAGUGCCUACAGCAGACCAGCCCUGCCCAGGACCUGCCGGGGAAGGCACUCAGCCAAGAGAAGGCAUCUCGCAGCCCCGUGCUGGGGCAGUCAAAGGGUUAACGGCACGGCCGAGUGGCUGCUCCGCUGGCUGAUAAGCACAGAACGUUGUAAUUUGGGAGAUUUAUGCAUUGCUGAGGUCAGGCAGCAGCUUGCAGACAACAGGGCCUGUCCCUUACCUGCUGGGCACAGACAAUCCCUGCAUGCCUGGAACCCCGCAGCCCUCUAAGCCUCUUGCUCUGCAGCCCUGGCAGCUGGCACUGACUCAGUUCUCUGUUAGUUUAUUUAUAUCUUUUUGUUUUGCCUUUGUAACUAAAUAAAAACUCCAGAGCCCUGUUAGCCAACAA